UACGUAAGGUGCGAGCGUUGUCCGGAAUUAUUGGGCGUAAAGAGCUCGUAGGCGGUUUGUCGCGUCUGCUGUGAAAACCGGAGGCUCAACCUCCGGCCUGCAGUGGGUACGGGCAAACUAGAGUGCGGUAGGGGAGAUUGGAAUUCCUGGUGUAGCGGUGGAAUGCGCAGAUAUCAGGAGGAACACCGAUGGCGAAGGCAGAUCUCUGGGCCGUAACUGACGCUGAGGAGCGAAAGCGUGGGGAGCGAACAGG
rnacentral:rRNA from 1 species